GAAGUGCAACAGGACUGUGAUCAGUGAGGCCACGAUGGAGAUGCUGCAGCCCACGAGGGAGAUGUAUGUAAGAGGUGCCAGCAACUCUGCAGGGACCAGGGCCGGGGAGAAUUGCUGCAGGAGGGAAGAGGGGCUGGAGGCCAGAAGCAUAGUAUCGCCCUCCCUCCCAGCCUCAGUCAGAGAGACCUCCUGAGGCCUCCUCUCCAAGUCCCCUUCCCCACAAGCCUAGCCAUGGACCUGGCCUGAACGAGGCCAUGGCAGAUACAGAUCAGCAUCUGCACUUCCCCUAGGAGCUCAUUCUUUCACCCUAGUCCCUGGGCCCUGUGACCCAGGCCUGGCCAAUCCACACCUUCCAUCCCCCUGGACAUAGUGACAGGUAAAGGGAUGUACACAUGACCCAGUUGAACCUUUAAGAUCCUGAGACCCUGGUCUGCACUGGGGCAGGUUGGGGAUGGAGAGUGGGGGGAAGAGCCUGAUGGGAAGAAGGAAAGGAAGUCUGGCUCUUCAGCAUCCAUCAUGCCACAGAAUGGACAGCCCAGGCAGGAGACCAUUGCUGAGAUGGAGACAGACUGAGCCACGAGGGCAUCAGAUCUGUCCCUGGAUCCAGCUGUGCCUGAAGCUGGUGGACCACCCCUAGACAUUUCAUUGAUGUGUGCCAAUCAGUUCCCUCUGUGCUCAAGCUGGCUUGAGGUGGUCUUUUCUCACUUGCAACUGAAAGCAUCCUGACAAAUGCAUGAGUAAAAACCUCUCUUUCUUAUUUCUUGA